UCCGUAGGUGAACCUGCGGAAGGAUCAUUACAGAAAGUAAACGCGGAUCAAACCGCGAACUUUUAAACCUUUGACGAUUGACUCAUGUUGCCUCGGCGGGUUCGCCCGCCAGAGGAUACAUCAAAACUCCUGUUUUAAACGGUGUUGUCUGAGCUACAAGCAACGAAUCAAAACUUUCAACAACGGAUCUCUUGGUUCUGGCAUCGAUGAAGAACGCAGCGAAAUGCGAUAAGUAGUGUGAAUUGCAGAAUUCAGUGAAUCAUCGAAUCUUUGAACGCACAUUGCGCCCCUUGGUAUCCCGAGGGGCAUGCCUGUUCGAGCGUCAUUUCACCACUCAAGCCUGGCUUGGUGUUGGGUGACGUCCAUUUUAAAGGACGCGCCUCGAAACGCUCGGCGGCGUGGCACCGGCUUUAAGCGUAGCAGAAUCUUUCGCUUCGAA
rnacentral:misc_RNA from 1 species